CAUGGGCUCUUCUAUUUCGAGAGGGAAAACGCUCGAGUUUGGCGUUUGGCAAAUCAGUUCACAUCCAUUGAUCGCCGCUGAAGGAAGUCCAGACAGACUCAUUAGUUUACCAGUUAAUCAGUGAUCAGAAUAGUUUAGCUUAAUCCUCUACAAAAUGGGCUGCUGCUGUAGUACAUCUGAUGGAGCCGAAAUCACUCCAACGCCGCCAGUCGCACCACACGAGGAUCAUCACCAGCAUCACGACUAUCCCCAGGCGACGCCGGCGGCCGCGAGCGGAGGCGAUCACGGAAGAUACUGACGAAGAGUUGUAAAUCCGAUGCCAAAUACAAAACAUUCUUACCGUUGAAA